ensembl:rRNA 5S_rRNA 5S ribosomal RNA
GCUUACGGCCAUACCACCAAAGGCACGCCCGCCUGAGUCUGAUCUCGGAAGCUAAGCAGGGUCGGGCCUGGUUAGUACUUGAUGGGUGACCGCCUGGGAAUACCAGGUGCUGUAAGCA